GCCAGGUGUUGUGGCACGUACCUGUAAUCCCAGCUACAUGGGAGGCUGAGGCAGGAGGAUUGCUUAAGCCCAGGGAGUUUGAGUUUGGGACCAGCUUGGACAGCAUAGCAAGAUCCUGUCUCUAAAAAAAAAAAAAAAGAAAAGCCAGGGACAGUGGCUCAUGCCUAUAAUCCCAGCACUUUGGGAGGCUGAUGUCUGAGGUGGUAGGAUUGCUUGAGGCCAGGAGGAGUUCAAGACCAGCCUGGGCAACAUAGUAAGACCCUGUCUCU
rnacentral:sRNA from 1 species